GCUAGUUGUACGAGCUCAUACUCGUAGCAAAUAGCUCCGUAACACGUGGCCAAACUACCCUACAGAGAACGAUACCCUCGGGAAACUGAGGCUAAUAGUUCAUACCCGUCCCAGGCUGGAAUGCCGGGACGCGCAAACGUUCCGACGCUGUAGGACGUGGCUGCGGCCGAUUAGGUAGACGGUGGGGUAACGGCCCACCGUGCCGAUAAUCGGUACGGGUUGUGAGAGCAAGAACCCGGAGACGGAAUCUGAGACAAGAUUCCGGGCCCUACGGGGCGCAGCAGGCGCGAAACCUUUAUACUGCACGCAAGUGCGAUAAGGGGACCCCGAGUGCGAGGGCAUACAGUCCUCGCUUUUCACCACCGUAAGGUGGUGGUGGAAUAAGAGCUGGGCAAGACCGGUGCCAGCCGCCGCGGUAAUACCGGCAGCUCGAGUGAUGGCCGAUCUUAUUGGGCCUAAAGCGUCCGUAGCCGGCCACACAAGUCCAUCGGGAAAUCCGCCAGCCCAACUGGCGGGCGUCCGGUGGAAACUGUGUGGCUCGGGAUCGGAAGACCCAACGGGUACGUCUUGGGUAGGAGUGAAAUCCCGUAAUCCUGGACGGACCACCGAUAGCGAAAGCACGUUGGGAAGACGAAUCCGACGGUGAGGGACGAAAGCCAGGGUCUCGAACCGGAUUAGAUACCCGGGUAGUCCUGGCCGUAAACGAUGUCUGCUAGUGUGGCUCCCACUACGAGUGGGGUGCUGUGCCGUAGGAAAGCCGCUAAGCAGACCGCCUGGGAAGUACGUCCGCAAGGAUGAA
rnacentral:rRNA from 1 species